CUUUCUUUAUUACAGGAUGCCUAUUACGUCUAUACGAAAGAGAUAGUCCAAUCAACAUGAACAAUAUCAAAUAAAAUAGAAAAUGGUAUUUGAAUUCCAUAUAUGUCGUAGGGUAAAACGUUUAGUUAAUAACUUCUGAAUGUUACCCUCUGAAAAACAGUUGUUGAGUUUUGCGGUUUCAAUUGAAUCUGUGUAUGAUUGGCUUUUUCAUCGAUUCUAGUACAACACGGUGUAGGAUAGUUUUAUGUUUCCUGUCAAAAACAAACACUGUUUAAGAUUGUUCUAAAAAUUUCGUCUUGAAUAACUCAAAUGGAACAACUGUUGUUUAUUAUUUAUCCUCUUUGCUCAUUGAAAAAAAACCACUCACAGUUGUUUUUUGGUUGUUUUUGUUUGUUAUCUCACUUUGCAAAACUGUAGCUGAUGUAUUUUAUUUCUCUUAAUUGACUAUGAAAAACUGAAAUUGUUAUAUGCAAUAUGUUUAUCAAAACUCACUAAGUGCAACGAAAACAAGCA
rnacentral:lncRNA from 1 species